rnacentral:rRNA from 1 species
ACGCUGGCGGCAGGCCUAACACAUGCAAGUCGAGCGGUAGAGAGGAGCUUGCUUCUCUUGAGAGCGGCGGACGGGUGAGUAAUACCUAGGAAUCUGCCUGGUAGUGGGGGAUAACGUUCGGAAACGGACGCUAAUACCGCAUACGUCCUACGGGAGAAAGCAGGGGACCUUCGGGCCUUGCGCUAUCAGAUGAGCCUAGGUCGGAUUAGCUAGUUGGUGGGGUAAUGGCUCACCAAGGCGACGAUCCGUAACUGGUCUGAGAGGAUGAUCAGUCACACUGGAACUGAGACACGGUCCAGACUCCUACGGGAGGCAGCAGUGGGGAAUAUUGGACAAUGGGCGAAAGCCUGAUCCAGCCAUGCCGCGUGUGUGAAGAAGGUCUUCGGAUUGUAAAGCACUUUAAGUUGGGAGGAAGGGUUGUAAAUUAAUACUCUGCAAUUUUGACGUUACCGACAGAAUAAGCACCGGCUAACUCUGUGCCAGCAGCCGCGGUAAUACAGAGGGUGCAAGCGUUAAUCGGAAUUACUGGGCGUAAAGCGCGCGUAGGUGGUUAGUUAAGUUGGAUGUGAAAUCCCCGGGCUCAACCUGGGAACUGCAUUCAAAACUGACUGACUAGAGUAUGGUAGAGGGUGGUGGAAUUUCCUGUGUAGCGGUGAAAUGCGUAGAUAUAGGAAGGAACACCAGUGGCGAAGGCGACCACCUGGACUGAUACUGACACUGAGGUGCGAAAGCGUGGGGAGCAAAC